GACGAACGCUAGCGGCGUGCUUAACACAUGCAAGUCGAACGAUGAUGCUGGAGCUUGCUCCAGUUGAUUAGUGGCGAACGGGUGAGUAACACGUGAGCAAUCUGCCCUUGACUCUGGGAUAACUGCGGGAAACUGUAGCUAAUACCGGAUACUUUCACCGGAAGGCAUCUUCUGGUGAUGAAAGAAUUUCGGUCAGGGAUGAGCACGCGGCCUAUCAGCUUGUUGGUGAGGUAACGGCUCACCAAGGCGACGACGGGUAACCGGCCUGAGAGGGUGACCGGUCACACUGGGACUGAGACACGGCCCAGACUCCUACGGGAGGCAGCAGUGGGGAAUAUUGCACAAUGGGCGCAAGCCUGAUUCAGCAACGCCGCGUGAGGGAUGAAGGCCUUCGGGUUGUAAACCUCUUUUAGCAGGGAAGAAGCGAAAGUGACGGUACCUGCAGAAAAAGCACCGGCUAACUACGUGCCAGCCGCCGCCGUAA
rnacentral:rRNA from 1 species